UAGACAUAUUUGCAAUGUGAC
rnacentral:piRNA from 1 species